rnacentral:misc_RNA from 1 species
GUCAUAAUUCUCGGUGAUAGCGGGUACUUAUCGCUUCUCCCUCUCUCAAUUUUGAUUCCAUUUUGAACCUCAUUGUUUUGAAUCGAUUUGAUUAUGGUUGAGAACGAAGACGGCUGUAAUUAUGGAGUAUAAAAGUGUUUGGUUUUCUAUGUAAUAAGGUUCAUGUUUUACUUUUGUUACUUUUUGGCUAAUAUGAUUUUCUGUUUAAUUUUUUUAUGAUUAAUCUGGAUUCUGGCAGGGUUGGGAAGACCUCGUU